CAAAAUCACUAGGGGUGCCUUUGGAGAAAGGCUGAGAUUAAAGUGACACUUUAAAACCCUUUGAACCUGAUCUGGGUCAAUACCAGCGUAGGGAAGUGAUGGGAGAAACGU
rnacentral:ncRNA from 1 species